rnacentral:rRNA from 1 species
GCCCAGACUCCUACGGGAGGCAGCAGUAGGGAAUUUUGCGCAAUGGACGAAAGUCUGACGCAGCAACGCCGCGUGAGCGAUGAAGGUUUUCGGAUCGUACAGCUCUGUUGAGUGGGAAGAAACGUCUCGGGGUUAAUAUCUCCGAGGCCUGACGGUACCACUCGAGGAAGCUCCGGCCAACUACGUGCCAGCAGCCGCGGUAAUACGUAGGGAGCGAGCGUUGUUCGGAAUCACUGGGCGUAAAGGGAGUGCAGGCGGAGGAGUAAGUCAGAAGUGUAAUCUACGGGCUCAACCCGUAUCCCGCUUUUGAUACUGUUCUUCUUGAGUAAUGGAGAGGGAAACGGAAUUCCAGGUGUAGCGGUGGAAUGCGUAGAUAUCUGGAAGAACACCAGUAGCGAAGCCGGUUUCCUGGCCACAUACUGACGCUGAGGCUCGAAAGCGUGGGGAGCAAACAGGAUUAGAUACCCUGGUAGUCCACGCCGUAAACGAUGGGCACUAGAUAUCGGGGAAUUCGAUUUCUUCGGUGUCGCAGUUAACGCGAUAAGUGCCCCGCCUGGGGAGUACGCCCGCAAGGGUGAAACUCAAAGGAAUUGACGGGGGCCCGCACAAGCGGUGGAGCAUGCGCUUUAAUUCGAUGCAACGCGAAGAACCUUACCUGGGUUUGACAUGGGAGUGAAACUUCCCAGAGAUGGGAAGCCUUCCUUCGGGAACACUCCACACAGGUGCUGCAUGGUUGUCGUCAGCUCGUGUCGUGAGAUGUUGGGUUAAGUCCCGCAACGAGCGCAACCCUCGCCCUUAGUUGCCAUCAGGUAAUGCUGGGAACUCUAAGGGGACCGCCUGGAACAACCAGGAGGAAGGUGGGGAUGAUGUCAAAUCAUCAUGGCUCUUACGUCCAGGGCUAGACGCGUGCUACAAUGGUCGGUACAGAAGGAUGCCAAGUCGUGAGACUGAGCUAAUCCAUGAAAACCGGCCUCAGUUCGGAUUGGAGUCUGCAAUUCGACUCCAUGAAGGUGGAAUCGCUAGUAAUCGCGGAUCAGCAUGCCGCGGUGAAUAUGUUCCCGGGCCUUGUACACACCGCCCGUCAAGCCACGAAAGAUGGGAGUACCCGAAGUCGCUUGCCCAACCCGCAAGGGAGGGUGGUGCCGAAGGUAAGAC